GAUGAACGCUGGCGGCGUGCCUAAUACAUGCAAGUCGAGCGAACAGACUAGGAGCUUGCUCCUCUGACGUUAGCGGCGGACGGGUGAGUAACACGUGGAUAACCUACCUAUAAGACUGGGAUAACUUCGGGAAACCGGAGCUAAUACCGGAUAAUAUAUUGAACCGCAUGGUUCAAUAGUGAAAGACGGUUUUGCUGUCACUUAUAGAUGGAUCCGCGCCGCAUUAGCUAGUUGGUAAGGUAACGGCUUACCAAGGCAACGAUGCGUAGCCGACCUGAGAGGGUGAUAGGCCACACUGGAACUGGGACACGGUCAAGACUCCUAAGGGAGGCAGCAGUAGGGAAUCUUCCGCAAUGGGCGAAAGCCUGACGGAGCAACGCCGCGUGAGUGAUGAAGGUCUUCGGAUCGUAAAACUCUGUUAUUAGGGAAGAACAAAUGUGUAAGUAACUAUGCACGUCGUGACGGUACCUAAUCAGAAAGCCACGGCUAACUACGUG
rnacentral:rRNA from 1 species